GCAAGGAUACGAACCCAGGACUGGUUUACCAAAUCAAAUCAAAUGUUUAUUCAGGUAAAAGUACAUACCUAGAACAUGAGUUACAAACAUAAUGUUGGAUUUAUAGAGAGAGCUAUCUAUACCAGGGGACCAUAAUUUCUGUCUGAUGCAGCCUACUCUUUGUCCUACUGUUUCCUUUCCCGUGAACUUCCCUUGAAAACCGCUUCUCUCCAACAACGAGAAUUAUGCAAAUGAUGAGCUACUAAAUAUUAUAGUUUACCCAAAAGUGCCAUCAAAAGAAAAUGUAAAGUUUACUACAGGAAUGUAUACGUCCUAAGUAAUCACAACAACAACAGCUUUUACCGACAAGUAUUUAGUUGAUAAACCCUUCAUGCAAACUGCACCUACUAUCAAGAAGAAUCGCUGUACAUUGGAAGAAAACUCCUGCAGUCAUCGUUAGGAGAUAACUUUAGCAUAUGAAGUAUAAGGCAAUACCCAAGUCUAAUUAUUCUAGCCAUAAGCAGUGCUGUCUUCAGGGCAUUGUAUGUACUAGCUCUAUCUAUAAAUCCAUCAACUUUUGUAUUUUACCUUGUAUGUAUGUACUUUACCUGAAUAAAUAUUUGUAUUUGUUGUUUGUACAAGUAUUUGUAUUUGUUGAGAUGCCCCAUAUCACAAAAUAACUGUUGUCAUCGAGAGGAGAUAGCCUUCAAUCACCAUGCAUGAGACUGCACGCAGGCUUAAUUAUACUAGUCAGUUGCAAUGAUGUGUCUUUAGGAGAGAGUAAGGUCUAAGAGCUGCAUAAUGCUUGACCCAGCCACGUUAUCUCUACUCUAUACAAAUCUAACCUAAUCUAUUCUAUUCUACCUCAACCUGAGCUAACCUUUAGCUCGGCUAACAAUUAUUAAACUAAUAAUAGAUAACUAUUAUUUAAUUCAUGAGAGAUAACUUUCACACAAACUGUACCAUCAUAAAUAAUAUCGAUAAAUCAUGAGUUUCCAGUGUGUGGGAAAAAAUUCAGUCAACUUGGAACUAUGAAGACUCAUAGGAUGGUGCAUGUUGGUGAUAAACCUCACGAAAGUUCAGAGUGUCACUCAGUUAGGACACAAAGACUCACAUGCUGGUACACAUGGGUAAUAAAUCUCACGAGUGUCCAGUGUGGGAAAAAAUUAAAUCGUGUUGGACAUUUGAAAUCGCACAGAAUGGUACAUACCAAGGAUGAACCUCAUAAGUGGCCAGAGUGUGGGAAGGCAUUUAGUCAUCUUGGACAUAUGAAGACACACUUGCUCAUACACAUAAGUGAGAAACUUCAUGAGUGUCCAGAGUGUGGGAAAAAAUUAAAACAUAAUGGAACUAUGAAGACUCACAGAAUGGGGGCCUACAGGCAAUAAACCUUUAGAAUGUGCUGAGUGUGGGAGAAAAUUUGGACACCGUAGCAGUAUAAUAAGUCAUGUUACUGCAUACAGGUGACAAGCCUCAUGAGUGUCCAGAAUGUGGGAAAAAGAGUCAGUCGUCUUGGUAAUAUGAAGAUUCAUAAUAUGGUGCAUACAGAUGAUAAGCCUUAUGAGUGUCCAGAGUGUGAGAAGAGAUUUAGGGAUCAAUGUAAUAUGAAAAGGCAUUUAUUAGCGCAUUCAGUCAAAUAAUAAGACUCACUUGGCCUGGUGUCUUGUUUUGAGGAAAAUUGUGUCUGUAACCAUUUUAAUUUUAAAUAGUACCAGUGCGUGUGUGUUUAAUAAAUCUUACAUGUUGCUCAUUUUGGUAGUAUUGCACGAGAUAACAUCACAUUAUCAGUUGGAUGUACUAUAAAGACCUUGUUAACAUAACCUGUAUUUAAGCUUAAUCUUCUCUUUUGUAGAAAUUAGAUGUCCCUCAUAGACCAAACAAGUACCAUGGAUGCUGGUUAUAAACCUCUGGAACUGCCUAUCUGCCGAAGCCGUAAAAGCCAAAACUGUUAAGUUUUAAAAUCUAUGUGGAAAAGAUCAUCAAGGCAAAUGUGAGGACGUUUGACAAGCCACUGGCUUCCUGUCCUCUUCAAGACCAUUAGGGUUAGUGGCCUUCAGGUAAAUCAGAUUUAUCUGUUUGGUACUGUAUAUUUCCUUGGCAGCUUUGUUCAGUUAAUUUAAAUCUAUGACCUCUUGUUCUUGACGUUCCAGGUCUCAGGAAUUAAAUUGCAUAAAGUGAAUUUUUGGCAAUGAAAAAUUAGAAUUAGAAUUCUAUAUUGUAAAUAGGAUAUCAUUAAUUAAAUAAUGAAAAUAUUGUUGGAACACAAUCUGAUCCAAAAAGGAGUAUGUGUGGAUGGGCAGAACACAGGAGGCAGUGAUUUGCAGAGCUUAUUGUGGUGUAUAUAAUUACUGGUUAUUGGAGAUCAUCUUAAUGUGUGUGCCCACACCUGUCUAACCUUAAGUAUAUUGUGCUACAUUCAAAAUGUAUAUAGGUGCUUUCUAAUUGUUAUAGUGUAUGAAGUUUUUGAUGUUCCCAGAAGGAGAGAGGCUAACCUUGUGGUAUCAUGCUUUCAUUGGAGUAAUAUUCUAUUUUCCUUGAUUAAUUUUAUACUAUCAAGCUAAUUAACUUCAUAGUGCCAUGUGCAAUGAUGUUUGUAUUAUAAUUUUGUAUGCUUUUCUAGGUUUGUGCAAGACAGCAAGCUAAAUAACAAUACAGAGUCAAGUGGUGGUAUUAUUACUAUAUAAUAAUUAAUUUUUUGUUGGAAUUUCUCCUGUUGUGUUGUAUCGUUCUGACAUUUUAUUCCAUGUUCUGUAGAGUUAACUAAUGUUUUAUUCCAUUAGUUAAAAACUGUAAAAUAAAUUCCUUGUUUGAACCAAAAUUGUAGUUUGGUUUAGUCGAUAUUAUCUAAUAUUCUAGUGUUGUAAAUUUUAUUUUGUAAUUUACUGCUUUUAAAUUCUUCCAAAUAAAAUGAUUAUGAUAA